CUACUCUAAUUGCUCAAUUGUGUGUGUGUGAUUUUUUCAAGAAAAAGGAAAUUGUGUGUGUUUAUUUGCUAUUUUUCUGAGCUAUUUGCUGUUUCGAGCUUCUCUAAGUUUUGCUUGCCGUUCAUCUCUGGUCUCUUCCAAUUUGCCGGUGUUCUUCUGCUAGGGUUCAUCACCGCUGAUCAUUGUUCAGUUUUUGCUUCAUCGACACCUUCGCUUCACUCUUGCGCCAUCUCAGCAUCGAGCAUGGUGCAUUGCCGCCACACCGGCUACAAACCCGUACCACCUGUGGAAGGAGAAAGAAGAGGAGAUUUUGAGGGGCAUUGAGCCUGUGGUUACACUAACCAAAGAUAUUAUUCACUCUCGAAGUGAUUUGUCAAAUAAUCAACUCUCUAGCUUGAUUCCUCAAGAACUUAGUCAGCUUCGGAAUAUGGUGUCAUUAAACACACAACACAGCAGAAGAUGAAAGCAAAAGUGAACUUGUGAAGUAAAUUUUUUUUUAUUUUUAUUUUUGUUUGGGUAUCAAAAGAUGGCAGCCUGAAUAAACAACGAGGGAUGGAGAAACAUUAUAUUAAGAUUUAGCAUAUAGGACAAGUCAAGCAUGGAUAUAAAAUAUGCAAGUAGAUUGGUAUUUUUUUAAUAAAUAUUAAUUACUAUUUUGUUAUGACAAUUAUUGUUAGACAAGAAUUUUAUUAUUUUGAUGAGAAUUAUUGAUGAACAUGUAUUUGAAAUUCUAAUUGAACUUUUUAAUAUCUAUUUUAAUUAGAAUUUUAUUAUUA